GACGAACGCUGGCGGCGUGCUUAACACAUGCAAGUCGAACGAAGUGGCGAACGGGUGUGUAACGCGUAAUCAACCUGCCCUUCAGAGGGGGACAACAGUUGGCAACGACUGCUAAUACCGCAUACUGUAGGAGGGGAUUGCGUCUGAUUAGCUAGUUGGAGGGGUAACGGCCCACCAAGGCGAUGAUCAGUAGCCGGGCUGAGGGGAUGAACGGCCCAAAUGGGACGGAGAAACGGCCCAGACUCCUACGGGAGGCAGCAGUGGGGAAUCUUCCGCCAUGGAGGAAAGUCUGACGGAGCAAAGCCGCGUGAGUGAUAACGGCCUUCGGGUUGUAAAGCUCUGUUAAUCGGGACGCGGUACCGGAAUAGAAAGCCACGGCUAACUACGUGCCAGCCGCCGCGGUAAUAC
rnacentral:rRNA from 1 species